CCGGAGGAAGGUGGGGAUGACGUCAAAUCAUCAUGCCCUUUAUGUCCUGGGCUACACACGUGCUACAAUGGCCGGUACACGGAGGGUAGCGAAGGGGUGACCUGUAGCCAAUCCCACAAAGCCGGCCCAAGUUCGGAUUGCAGGCUGCAAUUCGCCUGCAUGAAGUCGGAAUCGCUAGUAAUCGCGGAUCAGAAUGCCGCGGUGAAUACGUUCCCGGGCCUUGUACACACCGCCCGUCACACCACGAAAGCUGGCAACACCCGAAGCCGGUGGCUUAACCGGUCUGGAGGUCAGAGGCCAGAAGUCGGAAGUCGGAAAGAGGAAAGAAUUCGUAGACACGAAUUCUGAUUUCAACAGCUACCAUAAACCCCUCAAUAAUCUGACAUCUGACAUCCUGCAUCUGACUUCCAGAUCGGAAAGAGCCGUCGAAGGUGGGGCUGGUGAUUGGGGUGAAGUCGUAACAAGGUAGCCGUAUCGGAAGGUGCGGCUGGAUCACCUCCUUU
rnacentral:ncRNA from 1 species